GUGGGGAAUCUUGCGCAAUGGGCGAAAGCCUGACGCAGCCAUGCCGCGUGAAUGAUGAAGGUCUUAGGAUUGUAAAAUUCUUUCACCGGGGACGAUAAUGACGGUACCCGGAGAAGAAGCUCCGGCUAACUUCGUGCCAGCAGCCGCGGUAAUACGAAGGGGGCUAGCGUUGCUCGGAAUUACUGGGCGUAAAGGGCGCGUAGGCGGACAGCUUAGUCAGAGGUGAAAGCCCAGGGCUCAACCUUGGAAUUGCCUUUGAUACUGGGUGUCUUGAGUAUGAUAGAGGUGUGUGGAACUCCUAGUGUAGAGGUGAAAUUCGUAGAUAUUCGGAAGAACACCAGUGGCGAAGGCGACACACUGGCUCAUUACUGACGCUGAGGCGCGAAAGCGUGGGGAGCAAACAGGAUUAGAAACCCCGGUAGUCC
rnacentral:rRNA from 1 species